rnacentral:rRNA from 1 species
CGGACGGGUGAGUAAUGUAUGGGGAUCUGCCUGAUGGCGGGGGGUAACUACUGGAAACGGUAGCUAAUACCGCAUAAUGUCUACGGACCAAAGCGGGGGACCUCCGGGCCUCGCGCCAUCAGAUGAACCCAUAUGGGAUUAGCUAGUAGGUAAGGUAACGGCUUACCUAGGCGACGAUCCCUAGCUGGUCUGAGAGGAUGAUCAGCCACACUGGGACUGAGACACGGUCCAG